rnacentral:lncRNA from 1 species
GGCUGCCAGGGUGGAGCGGCUGCUCCUGUCCUACCCUCGGCUGUUUCCCUUCCUCCGCAGGUGGUUGGUCCCUUUGCUGACAACCCCAGGGUGCUGUUUGGGGACUACGCACCCAUCCCGGACCCCCAGUACAUCUACACCCCCAGGAGAGGCCUGGAGACCCUGCCGGCCAACGUCAGCUUCGCCGCAGGCUGCAGUGAGCCCAGGUGCCAGCACUACUCACCGGGUGAGGUGGAGGGGGCGGUCUUGGCAGCCGACGUCGUCGUGGUGUGCCUGGGCACAGGGACUGACCUGGAGACAGAGGCGAAGGACCGACGGGACCUGUCCCUGCCCGGGCACCAGCAGGAGCUGCUGCAGGACGCCGUGGCCUGGGCCGGGGGGCGCCCUGUCAUCCUGCUGCUGUUCAACGCGGGGCCACUGGACGUGGGCUGGGCCCAGGCCCACCGCGGAGUAGGCGCCAUCCUGGCGUGCUUCUUCCCAGCACAGGCCGCGGGCAUCGCCAUCAUCAAAGUGCUGCUGGGGGAAGAGGGGGCCAGCCCGGCAGGCAGGCUCCCGGCCACCUGGCCAGCUGGCAUGGACCAGGUGCCAGCCAUGGAGAAUUACACCAUGGAGGGGCGCACGUACCGGUACUAUGGGCCAAGGGCCCCACUCUACCCCUUCGGCUACGGACUGUCCUAUACCACCUUCCUCUACCGGGACCUGGCCUUGAGCCCCACGGCGCUGCCCGUCUGCGCCAACCUCAGCGUCUCCGUGGUGGUGGAGAACACUGGGCAGAGGGAUGGUGAAGAGGUGAGAGCUCUCUCUGCCCCGGGUCGGGGGUGGGGUGGGUUGUGAGGCAGGGCAUGGCGUGGGGGGAAUGGGGUUAUCAUGUGGGCCCUGUGCCAGGUCGGCACUUAGCUCUGAUGGCUCCACCCCCGUUGGGCUGGGGCGGUCAGGAGAGGUGGUGUCCUGCUUACUCCUGUGGCACUGGAGUGAGGCAGUGCCAUGAUUCUGCCCCAGCCGGGGUCUCAGGUUGUCCCUGAGGGGUGACGCUGCCCAGGGAGAAGCAGCACCUGGCAGGACCCCUCGGUCCCUGCUGGCCUUGCCCUGGGUGCUUGGCUCCCCGUUGCUGUUCCUAGCCCACCUCUCCCCUCCCUGCAGGUGGUGCAGCUGUACCUGCGUUGGGUGCAGCCCUCCGUGCCGGUGCCCCGCUGGCAGCUGGUUGGAUUCCGCCGGGUGCCCAUUGCCGCAGGCCGGGCAGUGAAGCUGCUGUUCCUGGUGACCUACGGGCAGCGCGCCGUCUGGGCUGAGCAGUGGCAGCUGGAGCCAGGCGCCUUCACGCUCUUUGUGGGCGGGCAGCAGCCAGGCCAGGAGACACGUGCCAGCUCCGAGGUCCUGCGGGCAGAAUUCACUGUGACUGGCACCACCCGACCCCUGAGCCACUGCUAGGGACAGGGACAGUUCCUGGGGCACUGGAAUGGGAACUGCGGGGGGCUAGGAUGGGGCCAUACGCAUUAGGAUUGGGAUCUGGCCCAGCACCCAGCUCGUUGUACCCGGAAGCAGGGUCACGUGACUGUCUCUAUCAGAGUUGGGAGGGCCGACCCGGCACUUGGCUGGCUGUAUUCAGGGGACCGGCCUGACACUUGGCUGGCUGUAUUCGGGGGACCGGCCUGGCACCUGGCUGGCUGUAUUCGGGGGGCCAUCCUGGCUAUACUGGGGACAAUGGGAGCUCAUUCAUUUGAUGCACAAUAAACUUUGCCCAGUGUUG